GACUUAAGGGCUGACAAAGAACUAAUAUUUUGAAAAUGAAAGUAUCUAAAGGCCACACAGAGGCAUCUGCCAGCGCUCCAGAACCAUGCACCUGCACUUGGCUGCUAUUAGACCUUGGGCAAACACCAGGAUUUCCACCAGAUUGUUCUGGUUUGCCAUUGUAAGGAAGAGCCUGUCUUCCCCAGCCAGAGCUCUCACCUGGACUUGUUACUGUAGAGAAUUCCAGAUCCAGCCCCACUGAAAAUCAGCUCUUUCCAGCCAACAGUCUGAGCCUGGAUCUCCACAAGGGGCACGAAGCUCUCUUUACAGAUUGCAGAUUUGCAUGGUUCAAGUUUGCAAGACAAAUACUUCACCUAUGAAGCCACCUCUCAACAAUGGCCUACUUUUGUGCAAUGCUUCAGACACAGUGGAAAUAGAGCCUCAGUUCAAAUACUUGGAUAGCUGGAGAACAAUUCCCCCUAGUCUUGUCCUUGGGAAUACACAUUACAGCCAAUGGGUAUUGGAUGGAAAGUGAGAGGAGAUGUAUAAACAAUGAAAGCUCUUGGUGUCUUUCCACAGCCACUGAAUCUUCAUGUGUUGGGGGUGAGACAUGGACAUUGCUGUUUUAAGAAGCUUAUAGCAGGGAUGGAGAGAUGGCUCAGUGGUUAAGAGCACUGACUGCUCUUCCAGAGGUCCUGAGU